rnacentral:rRNA from 1 species
GACGUAGGGCGCGAGCGUUGUCCGGAUUUAUUGGGCGUAAAGAGCUCGUAGGCGGUCUGUCGCGUCUGCUGUGAAAACUCAGGGCUUAACCCUGAGCUUGCAGUGGGUACGGGCAGACUAGAGUGCGGUAGGGGAGACUGGAAUUCCUGGUGUAGCGGUGAAAUGCGCAGAUAUCAGGAGGAACACCGGUGGCGAAGGCGGGUCUCUGGGCCGAUACUGACGCUGGAGGAGCGAAAGCGUUGGGGAGCGAACAGG